rnacentral:rRNA from 1 species
CAUGGCUCAGGACGAACGCUGGCGGCGUGCCUAAUACAUGCAAGUCGAACGAGAGCGACCGGUGCUUGCACUGGUCAAUCUAGUGGCGAACGGGUGAGUAACACGUGGGUAACCUGCCCAUCAGAGGGGGAUAACAUUCGGAAACGGAUGCUAAAACCGCAUAGGUCCUUUAACCGCAUGGUUGAAGGAGGAAAAGAGGCGCAAGCUUCUGCUGAUGGAUGGACCCGCGGUGCAUUAGCUAGUUGGUGAGGUAACGGCUCACCAAGGCCGUGAUGCAUAGCCGACCUGAGAGGGUGAUCGGCCACACUGGGACUGAGACACGGCCCAGACUCCUACGG